rnacentral:rRNA from 1 species
AUUGAACGCUGGCGGCAUGCCUUACACCUGCAAGUCGAACGGCAGCGCGGACUUCGGUCUGGCGGCGAGUGGCGAACGGGUGAGUAAUACAUCGGAACGUACCCUGUUGUGGGGGAUAACUAGUCGAAAGAUUAGCUAAUACCGCAUACGACCUGAGGGUGAAAGUGGGGGACCGCAAGGCCUCACGCAGCAGGAGCGGCCGAUGUCUGAUUAGCUAGUUGGUGGGGUAAAGGACCACCAAGGCGACGAUCAGUAGCUGGUCUGAGAGGACGGUGGGCCACACUGGGACUGAGACACGGCCCAGACUCCGACGGGAGGCAGCAGUGGGGAAUUGUGGACAAUGGGGGCAACCCUGAUCCAGCAAUGCCGCGUGUGUGAAGAAGGCCUUCGGGUUGUAAAGCACUUUUGGCCGGAAAGAAAUCGCGCUGGUUAAUACCUGGCGUGGAUGACGGUACCGGAAGAAUAAGCACCGGCUAACUACGUGCCAGCCGCCGCGGUAA